rnacentral:tRNA from 1 species
GGGUAUAGCUCAGUGAUAGAGUGCGUGCUUAGCAUGCAUGAGGUCCUGGGUUCAACCCCUAGUAUCUCCA